rnacentral:tRNA from 1 species
GAGGGCAUAGCUCAGAGGUAGGGUGCGUGCUUAGCAUGCGUGAGGUCCUGGGCUCAACCCCCAGUAUCUCCA